rnacentral:sRNA from 1 species
UUCUCCCAUUAUGACAUCUCAACGCUUGUUUCAGCUCCGCUGAAGUCGACCCUAGUGUUGGUGGUUGGUCUUCCUCUUCUUCAAGUCAUGUACUUCCUCGGGACACGGUCUGCUGCUGCAAAUCUAAAUAUAGACGAGAAGGCCAGUCGCUAAAGGAAGCAAUCAACGAGGAACAGAAAAACAAGUUGUCUAUUCCUUAUGAAACUUGGGAAUGUAGGAUUUGUUAAUAACGUUUUAGCCUUAUAAUGUUUGUUUUAUUAUUGCACGCCUAAACAGAUAAGCUAAAUGCAUAUUUAAAUAAGGAAAUAAAAAAAAAGUUUGUUUUAAUGCCAUACAAAUAUGCAUUACCAAUAGUCUUCCUUCUAUUUAGUUUGCAAGGUACAUUGUCGAAUAAAGGUAGACAGCGACUACCAUUAUCCCACAUCACUUUAUUCUAUAAAUAAAUAGCGAAAGAUAUACAUACAUUAGGCCACAAACACUUUAACCACCUACAUAAUUAGUCUUCAACUGUAUCUAAAAAAUGUGCAUGAGUUUUACAAAUACUGUCCAUCUAGAGACUACAUCUAGGUACGUGUAGCGUUACCUCACUUUCUUAUAUUAAUAUAUAGCUUGUUUUAUGCUGUGCAUCCAAGAGCACUUUUAUAUUUUGCCUUCUGUUUUAGGAGAUUUACAUUGAAUCCAAUGUACAUGCUUUAAUAAAAAAAUAUAAGAAAAACGUAUA